UACGUAGGAGACGAGCGUUGUCCGGAAUUACUGGGCGUAAAGCGCGUGUAGGCGGCUGGGCAAGUCUGCUGUGAAAGCUCCUGGCUUAACCGGGAGUGGUCGGUGGAAACUGCCAAUCUGGAGGACGGUAGAGGUAGGUAGAAUUCCCGGUGUAGUGGUGAAAUGCGUAGAGAUCGGGAGGAAUACCUGUGGCGAAGGCGGCCUACUGGGCCGGACCUGACGCUGAGACGCGAAGGCGUGGGGAGCGAACGGG
rnacentral:rRNA from 1 species